rnacentral:rRNA from 1 species
ACGCUAGCUACAGGCUUAACACAUGCAAGUCGAGGGGUAGCAGGGUAGCAAUACCGCUGACGACCGGCGCACGGGUGAGUAACACGUAUCCAACCUUCCCAUAACUCGGGGAUAGCCUUUCGAAAGAAAGAUUAAUACCCGAUAGUACUUAAGAGAGGCAUCUUUUUUAAGUUAAAGAUUUAUUGGUUAUGGAUGGGGAUGCGUUCCAUUAGAUAGUUGGUGAGGUAACGGCUCACCAAGUCUUCGAUGGGUAGGGGUUCUGAGAGGAAGGUCCCCCACAUUGGUACUGAGACACGGACCAAACUCCUACGGGAGGCAGCAGUGAGGAAUAUUGGUCAAUGGGCGAGAGCCUGAACCAGCCAAGUAGCGUGAAGGAUGACGG